rnacentral:siRNA from 1 species
CCGCGGUACACCACGGGUUGA